GAAAUGCGAUAAUUAAUGUGAAUUGCAGUAUUCAGUGAAUCAUCGAGUCUUUGAACGCACAUUGCGCCCCCUGGUAUUCCGGGGGGCAUGCCUGUCCGAGCGUCAUUGCUGCCCUCAAGCACGGCUUGUGUGUUGGGCUUCCGUCCCUGGCAACGGGGACGGGCCCAAAAGGCAGUGGCGGCACCAUGUCUGGUCCUCGAGCGUAUGGGGCUUUGUCACCCGCUCCCGUAGGUCCAGCUGGCAGCUAGCCUCGCAACCAAUCUUUUUAACCAGGUUGACCUCGGAUCAGGUAGGGAUACCCGCUGAACUUAAGC
rnacentral:misc_RNA from 1 species